rnacentral:rRNA from 1 species
GGGGAGUACGUUCGCAAGAAUGAAACUCAAAGGAAUUGAUGGGGGCCCGCACAAGCGGUGGAGCAUGUGGUUUAAUUCGAUGCAAAGCGAAGAACCUUACCAGGGCUUGACAUCCCGUGAAUCCUCUUGAAAGAGAGGGGUGCCCUCGGGAACGCGGACACAGGUGGUGCAUGGCUGUCGUCAGCUCAUGCCGUAAGGUGUUGGGUUAAGUCUCGCAAUGAGCGCAACCCUCGUGUUUAGUUACCACUAUGAGUUUGGAACCCUGAACAGACCGUCGGUGUUAAACCGGAGGAAGGAGAGGAUGAGGCCAAGUCAUCAUGCCCCUUAUGCCCAGGGCGACACACGUGCUACAAUGGGCGGGACAAAGGGUCGCGAUCUCGCGAGGGUGAGCUAACUCCAAAAACCCGUCCUCGGUUCGGAUUGCAGGCUGCAACUCGCCUGGAUGAAGUAGGAAUCGCUAGUAAUCGCAUGUCAGCCAUACGGCGGUGAAUCCGUUCUAGGGCCUUGUACACACCACCCGUCACACUAUAGGAGCUAGCCAUGUUUGAAGUCAUUACCCUUAACCGUAAGGAGGGGGAUGCCUAAGGCUAGGCUUGCGACUGGAGUGAAGUUGUAACAAGGUAGCCGUACUGGAAGGUGCGGCUG